AAGUGGCACUAAAAUUUUUUUUGAAAGAUUUUUGAGCAUCGUGUAGCACAUAACAUCAGUUCGAGGUCAGUAAGCACAAACCAAAAUUCAUACAUAAGGCGCACUGUCGAUUUUUGUGAAGAUUUAAGGAUUUUAUGUGCACCUUAUAGUGCGGUAAAUACGAUAUUACAGAAAUGGGUCUGUUAUAGGUAUGAGGGUACAAAAUAUGGGUCUAUUAUGGGUAUGUUAAAAUGUACACGGUAUGAAGGUAUGUUAUGAAUAUGCAAUAAUUAUAAGUAUGUACAGGCUGUAGUGGGUGUACAAGCUAUGAAGAGAAUAUAAAUAUGAAAACUAUACAGAAAUAUGAAAUUAAAAAAAAAGCUAUACAGAAAUAUAUUUACAUAAAUAUAGAAAAAGUACUGUUUAUAAGGUUGGGGAAACCUGUAGUCAGCAGAGUCACCUGGAUGAGUGACGAAAUGUUUCUCCCACUGAAAAUGUCCAGAUGAACAGAACCCACUUUUGGAGAUUACACCGGAGUAUUAUUGCUACAUUAAGAAAAUAAAAAAUAUUUUCGAUCGUUUUGAGAAUAAAAUUGAAAUUUUACAAUUAAAGUUGAAACGUAACAUGUUUGCUGUAAUCUCUAUGAAAUGCCUUGUUAGGAUGGGUCAGUGAAACAAAUGUAUUAACUGUAUUAUGAUAUACCACGUCCUCUUUUUUUUUCUUUGUGUGCAUCUCCUCUUCUGAAUUUGUGUUUUUCUGUCUUUUUCUUUUCAGCGUCCUUAUACUCAUCAACACACUGUGUUUAUCAGCUAAAAGAAACCAUUUCACUCACUCAGAGGGUAUAGAAGGGUCUUGAAACAACAACUGAAAUCUUGAAAUUUUGCCUUUAUUCUCGAAAUGAUUAAUAAUAUGUUUCCCUAAUACUCCUUGGAAGUAUAUUCAGUCUGUCUGCAUGUAAAAAGCAGACCGACUGAGCUGAUGAGGAAGUGAAAAAGUGCUGAAAAUAAACCUUUGUCAUCUUGUUGAAGUUGUGAAGCUCUCUCAGUGAGUUUGUGUCUGUCGUUCAGGAUGAAUGCCUUGCUGUCCAUCUGUCUCUGGCUGUCUCUGAUGAUGUUAGUCUGCUGUGGAAUCAUUGAAAAGGAAAACUUGCACCAUGAAGACAUGUAUGAAUUCUCAGCGAAUAACGACACUUCUUAUUAUAACUUAUCUUCUUAUUAUGACUACUAUUACUAUGGUAACUUCAGAGCACCUGCACAACACAGACACCUUAUCUAGUAACGCAACUGUUGCUGAGCUGUACUCACAGCAGCUUCUGUGCUUUCUUGUC